GGAACUAAGGCACAGCUGUGGAGAGGAAGGGCUUGGGGGGCCUGGGCCUGGCCUGAGGGGCCCUCAUCUAGGGGGAUUCCGAGGCGGCGGCGGCGGCGGCAUCAGUCCAGGCCCUGCCCUACGAUCUCAUCCUGUUCCCUUUCGCCCCUCUCUCCCCUCGGCUUUAUACUCCAGGCCCUGUCCCCUGAGCUCUGCCCUCGGAUGUUCCACCGCCCAGAGCUUGCAUGCGCCGUGGGGCGCCCCAGGACCAGGAGCUGGUGGGUCCGGGGGCUCCUGGGCGGGGGUCCCGGGGCGCCCCUCCUCCCUCGGGACCUGUUGUCCCGGUCCUCGUCUUUCCCCUGGAUCUAGUAUUCAGGGCAGACCAGCGGAGUGGAUCUCGGCAGCUGCUGACCCUCUAUAACCCCACGGGAGCAGCGCUUCGCUUCCGAGUCCUGUGCACAGCACCUGCCAAAUACACAGUGUUUGACGCGGAAGGAUAUGUGAAGCCUCAGUCUUGCAUUGACAUUGUGAUUCGCCACGUGGCCCCCAAUCCCAGCCACUAUGACGUCCAGGACCGCUUCCGCAUUGAGCUGUCUGAGGAGGGAACAGACGGCCGAGUGGUGGGGCGCAAGGACAUCACCUCGGUUCUGAGGGCCCCUGCGUACCCCCUUGAGCUUCAGGGACAGCCUGACCCAACGCCGCACCCAGAGCCUCCUUCCUGGACAGCACCACCCACGGCUCAGCACUUCCCAGAGAACCCCCUCCCGCACCUGGCCACCAGCUCCUUCCUCCUCUUCUUGCUGAUGGGCCUUGUUUCCCAGACCCCCUCCCGCACCUGGCCACCAGCUCCUUCCUCCUCUUCUUGCUGAUGGGCACAGUCUCCGUGGCCUUCCUGCUGCUGCCGCUCCAGGACGAACUUGGCAGCCAGCUGCCCCAAAUCCUUCACGUCUCCCUGGGACAGAAGUUAGUGGCAGCCUAUGUCUUGGGCCUCCUGACUAUGGUGUUCCUCCGGACCUGAGCUCCCUGCUCAACCUCCGCGCCCCCUCCCCGGGCAGGGACGUGGCCCUGGACGCGGACGUGAGACGGCCACUGUGAUGCUCGUAGCCUUGCCUCAACUCCUACUCCCUUCUUCUUGCCCGUCCCCUUCCCCCCCAAACCCAGGGAUUUGUAUUCAUCUUCCAAGCUGAAUAAAAUAAAUUUGUAAA